AAAAAAGUUAAAUCUUAAAACUAAAUGUAAAUUAAAAUGAAAACAUCUACUGCCCAUCUCUGGCUGUUUCCUUGAUAAACUUCUCUUUGGGGAAUGCCUGUGUUUGGCCUAGCACUGACACCACUGGGACACCACAUCCCGUAUCAGAGUGCCUGAGAUCAAGUCCCAGCUCCACUUCCAGUUCCAGCUUCCUGCUAAUAUGCACCCUGGGAGGCAGCAGCUCAGGUUGUUGGGUCCUUGCCACCCACAUGGACCCAGGUUGAAUUCCUGGCUCCUGGCUUCAGCUUGGCCCAGCUAUGGGAGUUGUACUUAGCCUAUUGUGUGUCCCUGUCUUUCAGAUCAAUGAAUAAAAAUAAUUUGGGGCCUGGCAUUCUAGUGUAGAAGGUUGAGCGGCUGCUUGUGAUUCCAGCGUCCCAUAUGGGUGCUGAUUUGUUUCCUGGCUGCAGCACCUCUGAUCCAGCCCCCUACUAAUGGCCUGAGAAAAUCAGUGGAAGAUGGCCCAAGUGCUUGGGCCCCAGAUACUCUCAUGAGAGACUUGGAAGAAGCUCCUGCUCCUGGCAUCAGCCUGGCCAUUGUUGAUUGUGACAGCCAUCUGGGGAGUAACCCAGUGGGUAGAUCUCUCUUUCUCUUCCUCUCUCCCUUACUUUGGACUUUCAAAUAAAUAAAUAUAUCAUAAAAGUAAAAAUUGUUUGGUUCACUGGUGUACCCCUAUCCCAAAAGGACCUUCAACCUCAGGCCAGCAGAGCUGCUGAUCUCCAUUUAUAUCCUACAUUUCUUCUAUUUACUGGUGAGAAUAUAAGCAUGGGUUCCUCUCCUUCCACUCCACAUCAGGUCCAACAGGGCUGCUGGUUUUCACAGCCUCACCCACCCUGGGAGCACUGUAAGCUCAGGGUGGGGAGGAAAGUGACACAGCUCCAGGCCAACACACCACCUUCUCCCACUCUUCUUUCCUGGGUGGUCACCAUUUCUCAAUCAAUUAGUUCUGUCUGUUUUUUGGUUGGUUGGUUUGUUUUUGGCUGCUUCCCAGAGGCCAUAAAGAUUGUUGAUUUUGUUUUGUUUCAUAGCUAUCGGACACAUUGCCAGGGAAAGCCAGACAUUCAUACCUCCUUCAGCACUGGACACAGCCUAGGAUAUGGCUGGGAUCAGGACCUCCCCUCCCAUCUCGAGUCCCAAGAGUGUUAAGUCCUCAAAAGCCGAUUCAAAGUCACGUCCACCCUCCCUGCGCAGCAAGCGGAACUGAGAAAAGCAGCUCAGCUGGGAAGAGUCCCUUCAGCUUCCGUGUCGGGCGUUCCCAGUGAAGAAGUCUGGAGAGAAGUAGCCCACCUGGGCUGCUCCCCCGGUGACUGACACCUCAUGGCCCCUGGCUGCACGGGCUACACAUAGACCAGCUGGCACCCUCGGUCGGAUCCACCAGAUCGGAGUUUUACAAUCUGAGUUCUCAGACUGUGAAGCCUCUGCUCCUGAAGGCUUGUGGCAUCUAAAGGGGAAGCCACUGUCAUCACAGCACCUUCGGAAAGUGAAUUCACAGAAGGCGAGCUCUGGUGCCUGUUUCCAGGGCAGGCGAGCGUGUCCCAGGCCUUGGUACUCCCUUCGCUGGCCUCCUUCCACAGGCUUUCUUUAUCUGUGGGGUCAAAAUUUGAGGUGUCCCAUGGGGUGGCUGCUGGUGGGCACGUAGGGGGCUGGCUGCUUCCAGAUGUCGCUGGAGAAGCCUAUGGUGUGAAGAAGGGGUGGGCCUUCAAGUCAUUGGCCUGUCCCUCCCCCAGGCAGAUUAGAGCAGCUCAGCUUGGUGAUAAGGUUGACCUGGCCUUGGGCUCAGCUUGACCUGGGCAGGAAUGUGGAAGUGUUCUCCCAGUUGACCACCUUCAGCUGGGUUUCUGUGAGUGUGGGCACCAGCCCGACCGGCAUCUCAAAGAGAAUCACGCUGAUGCUCCACAAGGGUGUACCUUUGCAGAGGAGUGAUGUAACGUGGCAACCCAACCAGGGGGUGCACCAGACACCACUGGUGCCUGCUGUUCCAGGGUCUUCAGCCUGUCCUCACACCGACAGUUAGACACAUUGUCCCAGAGGUCGCUGGGCUCCAUGCUGUCCUGUCAGAUGUGGUUUCCUUUCUGGUAGUAUUAGGAAUUGUGAGUUCCACCUGCACCCCAUGAAGAGGCCGAAAUCUGUCCCUUUGAUGUGACCA
rnacentral:lncRNA from 1 species